rnacentral:lncRNA from 1 species
UCUUUCAGGUACAAAGGAUUUAAGGGCAACUGUUCCAUGACCUUCAUUGAUCAGUUUAGAGCGCUGCACCAGUGUAACAAGUACUGUAAAAUGCUGGGGCUGAAAUCCCUUCAAAACAACAGCCAGAAGCCCAAGAAAAUCCUCGGGAAAGGCAGAGCUCCUUCAAACUCCUCGCCAGUGAAGGCGCCUGAGUCCGGGACGCCCACAGAAAAGAAAACCUAGCAUCCCUCAUCCCUUGGCCACCAGUGACCACCAGCCAGCAACGCACAGGCUUGCAAGUGGACAUUGGCCAACACGCGGGGUCGCGAGCCUGCAGCCUGCAGAGCCUCACUCCUCUUCCGCUCACUAUCACUUGCUGUCUGCUGAAACGAGGAUGGCGAGGAUGGCGUGGGUCUUUCUGACUAGCCCUGUGGGGAGUCUCAGCAGUUCCGUUGAUGGUCUCAAAGACAGCCCACUGUUUGUGUACACAACUAGCGAGUCUACCCCACCCCCUCUCACCGUGUGUCUAUUUGUGUGUUGCACGUGGUUUGUUGACAAGAGUUCCACACUGCCUUGCGACUGGCCACCGUCAAAAUCCUUCCCACCACGACUCCUCACCUCGGGAAUGUCUGGAUGUUUCUGCAAUUACAAAUGUCAAGUUGUCGUAUCAGUGUCACCUAUGCUACUGUUGCUGAAGGUGGCUUUCCAGAUGUGAGGCCAUUUCCCGGCACUACCCACACAGCCUGGCACCUGCUCUGUUUCAUUAAAUUCAUAUUUAAGC